ACGAAAGUCAAACUCCCGAAUUCUAUACGUGUUGUCCCGCUUGCUCUGGCUUUCUCAUUACUUGUUUUUCGGUCAGUUGAAAUCAAUGUGGUGAAGUGGUAGGUGCGUUUUACAAGUUUUACAAGAGCAAGCAGAGAAGAUACAAUGGAAGAUGAUUUGUAUGAUUUUUUGACGGCUUAAAACCUGCCCUUGUCUUGCUAUGAGGAAUUAAGAGACUUUGUAAAAUAUAUUACAGACCGCGACUUUGAGGUCAUUUUUCCACAAAAAGAGCAGUGCGGUUUGAAGGCAGUGUUUUGAGCAAAGUUGAAGCAGUGGAGACACGCAAAUUUAUUUUGUAUUGUUUUAAUUUAUGAAGUACGUACAAUUCAUUCUUCAAUCAUCCGAUAUUGAAGCUCAAAUCAUUCGCCAUUUUAAAACAUCUAAAAGUCUAGCAAAUCUAAACAGAAGUAAAUUUUGACUCUUAUUGCUGGAAGAUUCUAUAAAGCAUCGCUAAAUGUUUACAAAGUUCCAAACGUUCAGGAAAUAGAAACUUUGCGGAGGAUAAAGAUAUUUACUUCCUGAGCAGAAAAACGUCCAUUCAUGCAAUUGAAAACGAUGUUAUUGAUAUAAUGUACGACCUGUUCGAGGGUGUUUGCAAAUACGACAGUUGUAAGAUUCUUAAAGAUAAUUAUUUCACAUUGGAAAACUUUAACUACAGAAAAGGAAUGUUUAAUUAUUCAGCUUUGUCAAAGCGUCAGCAAGGCAAAUUAUGAAUUUGAUGCCUUUUCUUACGGUUUUUAUUGGUGACUUAGUACCCGAGAAUAAUAAAGUUUGAAAAUUUGUUAUAGUAAUUAUUAAAAUUAUUUAUAUUUUGAUGCAAAGCUUUUUACAGCUUUUUAACAUUCCGUUAAAGCCCAAGUUUUAUUUCCUUGUCCAUUAUUAAGAUGUAAUUUUAAAGAAUGGCCCACCUAAGCACUUUUGGAGCAGGAGGUAUGAAGCAAAGCACUACCAGCAGAAAAGCAUUUUUUAUUUAUUAACCUUACUUAAGCACAUAUGAAAAUGGAUUUCUAACGUUUUACAAGAUUAAAAAGAAAAGUAAUAAUGUUUUAAAAAAAAUCUAGCUUUAAAUACCUAAUCAAAAAUGAAAAUGUAAAUGAUUACUUUAUUGAUUCUUUUAUAACACAUUUAGAGUUUAAGGGCGUAGACUACAAGCAAAACCACUAUGUCACAAGACAGGCUGUUGAUGUUUGUGAAUUACAUGAAAUAUUACAUAUGUAUUUUAGAAAGUGAAUCAAAAAAAAUGUUCAUAGUUACUUAAUUAAUUGAUGUUUGCUAUUUUAGCGAGCACUAGGCUUUUAGGAUUGGAUCUAAAUUGGAAACGUUUAAGUUUCAAAAUAUUGAAAACUUUGAAGAUCCGCCUAUUCAUUUAUA